CUACCUGGCCCUACAUCUACAGAUUGUCGGGCUGUUUUCCUUAGGGGGGGUGGUGCCUCGUCAUCAGUGUCCACACCUUGAAGCAUACUAACCAAGACCCUCACGUCACCGUGCACGUCCCACGCUGCACCUGGAGGAAGGUGGUGCGCGACUGCCUUCUGGAGGCGGAUAUGAUCAUAAGAACUAGGAGGCCAGAAACAAUUCCAUGACUCCCCUGCCUCCUCCAACCAGCUGCUUGGCACUAUGGUAGUGCUCCUAUCUUUGAAUUCGACGACCUUCCACACCUGUGCCAUCUGUCAAUGAGAAGACAAGGAAUUAGGAUUGGUGAAGAAGAGGGAUGGCAACAUAAUGGUCUUGGUCUGGAAAAAGCACACAUUUUC